rnacentral:lncRNA from 1 species
GUAUCCAACCAUAGCAGUGCAUUUCUUCCUCGCUGAGCAAGACCAAAAGUCCAGAAAAUGCCAACCUUACAUCAGUGCUACACAGCGUGGGGGGACCUGGGACUCAGUGAUCCUCAUCUUAUGUUGGUGUCAAUAUGCAGCCACCAGAUGGUGCUGGAGGGGGCGGUGCAGUUGGCGCCUGCAUGGAUUACCUCCUCUGAGCUGGGAGAGGCACUGAGGGAGCUAUGGGGGCCCCAUGACUCAGCAUAGAUACAUGGUCACCACGGGAUCACUUUUCCCUUCAAGCACUGGCUGGACUGGGGAAGUUGAACCCUGUGUUUCUGUUUCCGGUGGGCCAACUGCCUCAACUCACAGAGGACAAGUGAUCUUCAAGGGUAAAGCACCAUCAUCCUGGGAUGUGUUAGACAUCUGGAGUCCAUUCCUGUCACAUUAGACUUCACUUACAAAAU